rnacentral:rRNA from 1 species
AGAGUUUGAUCCUGGCUCAGAAUGAACGUUGGCGGCGUGGAUUAGGCAUGCAAGUCGUACGCACAGCUUCGGCUGUGAGUGGCGCAAGGGUGAGUAAUGCGAAGGUAACCAAACCCUGGAGUUGGGCAUAACCGCGGGAAACUGCGGGUAAUUCCCAGCGAUGUCGCGAGAUGGCAUCAUCUUGCGACCAAAGGUGUGAUUCCGCUCUAGGACGGGCCUUCGUGGUAUUAGGUAGUUGGUGAGGUAACGGCUCACCCAAGCCGACGAUGCCUACCGGGUGUGAGAGCAUGACCCGGCACACUGGAACUGAGACACUGUCCAGACACCUACGGGUGGCUGCAGUCGAGAAUCUUCGGCAAUGGGCGAAAGCCUGACCGAGCGACGCCGCGUGAGGGAAGAAGGCCUUCGGGUUGUAAACCUCUUUCGUAGAGGAGGAAGGGGCCGUGCAGAGCGGUCUUUGACCUAUUCUAGGAAGAAGCUUGGGCUAAGUUCGUG